rnacentral:rRNA from 1 species
GGGGAAUAUUGCGCAAUGGGGGAAACCCUGACGCAGCAACGCCGCGUGGAGGAAGAAGGUCUUCGGAUUGUAAACUCCUGUCUUCUGGGACGAAAAAAAUGACGGUACCAGAGGAGGAAGCCACGGCUAACUACGUGCCAGCAGCCGCGGUAAUACGUAGGUGGCAAGCGUUGUCCGGAAUUACUGGGCGUAAAGGGCGCGUAGGCGGCUCUUUAAGUUAGAUGUGAAAACCCAGGGCUCAACCCUGGGAGUGCAUUUAAAACUGAAGGGCUCGAGUGCAGGAGAGGUAAGUGGAAUUCCUAGUGUAGCGGUGAAAUGCGUAGAUAUUAGGAGGAACACCAGUGGCGAAGGCGACUUACUGGACUGUAACUGACGCUGAGGCGCGAAAGCGUGGGGAGCAAACA